rnacentral:rRNA from 1 species
UACGGAGGAUCCAAGCGUUAUCCGGAUUCAUUGGGUUUAAAGGGUGCGUAGGCGGAAUCAUAAGUCCGUGGUGAAAUCCUUCAGCUUAACUGGAGAACUGCCAUUGAUACUGUUAAUCUUGAGUACAUUUGAUGUGGGCGGAAUGUGUCAUGUAGCGGUGAAAUGCUUAGAUAUGACACAGAACACCGAUUGCGAAGGCAGCUCACAAAACUGUAACUGACGCUGAGGCACGAAAGCGUGGGUAUCAAACAGG